CCUACGGGGGGCAGCAGUGGGGAAUAUUGGACAAUGGGGGGAACCCUGAUCCAGCGACGCCGCGUGAGUGAAGAAGUAUUUCGGUAUGUAAAGCUCUAUCAGCAGGGAAGAAAGAAAUGACGGUACCUGAAUAAGAAGCCCCGGCUAACUACGUGCCAGCAGCCGCGGUAAUACGUAGGGGGCAAGCGUUAUCCGGAUUUACUGGGUGUAAAGGGAGCGUAGACGGCGAUGCAAGUCUGAAGUGAAAGGCGGGGGCCCAACCCCCGGACUGCUUUGGAAACUGUAUGGCUGGAGUACAGGAGAGGUAAGUGGAAUUCCUAGUGUAGCGGUGAAAUGCGUAGAUAUUAGGAGGAACACCAGUGGCGAAGGCGGCUUACUGGACUGUAACUGACGUUGAGGCUCGAAAGCGUGGGGAGCAAACAGGAUUAGAUACCCUGGUAGUC
rnacentral:rRNA from 1 species